GACGAACGCUGGCGGCGUGCUUAACACAUGCAAGUCGAACGGAAAGGCCCUGCUUUUGUGGGGUGCUCGAGUGGCGAACGGGUGAGUAACACGUGAGUAACCUGCCCUUGACUUUGGGAUAACUUCAGGAAACUGGGGCUAAUACCGGAUAGGAGCUCCUGCUGCAUGGUGGGGGUUGGAAAGUUUCGGCGGUUGGGGAUGUACUCGCUGCUUAUCAGCUUGUUGGUGGGGUAGUGGCUUACCAAGGCUUUGACGGGUAGCCGGCCUGAGAGGGUGACCGGCCACAUGGGGACUGAGAUACGGCGCAGACUCCUACGGGAGGCAGCAGUGGGGAAUAUUGCACAAUGGGCGGAAGCGUGAUGCAGCAACGCGGCGUGCGGGAUGACGGCCUUCGGGUUGUAAACAGAUUUCGACUGUGACGAAGCGUGAGUGACGGUAAUGGGUAAAGAAGCACCGGCUAACUACGUG
rnacentral:rRNA from 1 species